UAUUAUUUGUCUUUUAUUUGGGUUUUUUUUAGAUUCCAUACAUUAAUGAAAUCAUGUGGUAUUUGUCCUCCAUCUGACUUAUUUCACUUAGUUUAAUACCCUCAAGGCCCAUCCGUUUAUACAGAAUGAACUUCUUAUGCUGCCAUUCUGAACCCCUCUCCCUGGAGUGCAAACAUUUCUUAAAUGAUUUCAAGUAAUCAACUUUUUAAAAAACUUAAGCCAAGAGACUACGAACAAAACUUUUUUGAGUGACUAAGACUGCUUUCAGACUGAAUAAAACCCCUAAUAUGCUGAUGUUAUAUGAAAAAAAUUCUUUUACUGAAAAGAGUGAAAAACUAUUAUUUUUGUUAUCUGAUGUAAACUUACACUUGAUCCCUAGGAUACAAAGAUCUAUGGGAACUUUAAAAACUAAUUGGCUGGUUCUGCCCUGCAGCCAGGCUGCAGGCCUGUGAGGCUCCUCACUGCUGCAGGGCUACUUCAACGAACAAAUCAAAGCACACCUUGUAGAGGGCCCAAAACAUCACUACGAAUAGGG